CUUUACUGUAGCUUUGCAUUGGACUUUGACGGGACUUGUGUAGGACAGGUGGGAGGCGUUGAAACCGGGACGCUAGUUCCGGUGGAGCCAACCUUGAAAUACCACCCUGGUGUCGUUGAGGUUCUAACCCAGGUCUGUGAAUCCAGAUCGGGGACCGUGCAUGGUGGGCAGUUUGACUGGGGCGGUCUCCUCCCAAAAGGUAACGGAGGAGUACGAAGGUCUUCUAGGUACGGUCGGACAUCGUACUGAUAGUGCAAUGGCAAAAGAAGGCUUGACUGCGAGACCGACAAGUCGAGCAGGUGCGAAAGCAGGUCAUAGUGAUCCGGUGGUUCUGUAUGGAAGGGCCAUCGCUCAACGGAUAAAAGGUA
rnacentral:rRNA from 1 species